UACAGGGGGUGCAAACGUUGCUCGGAAUCAUUGGGCGUAAAGCGCACGUAGGCGGUUCGUUAUGUCGGAUGUGAAAGCCCUUGGCUUAACCGAGGAAGUGCAUCCGAAACUGGCGAGCUAGAGUACUAAAGAGGAUCGCGGAAUUCCCGGUGUAGAGGUGAAAUUCGUAGAUAUCGGGAGGAACACCGGUGGCGAAGGCGGCCUUCUGGACAGUGACUGACGCUGAGACGCGAAAGCGUGGGGAGCAAACAGG
rnacentral:rRNA from 1 species